CCUACGGGAGGCAGCAGUAGGGAAUCUUCCGCAAUGGGCGAAAGCCUGACGGAGCAACGCCGCGUGAGUGAAGAAGGUCUUCGGAUCGUAAAACUCUGUUAUUAGGGAAGAACAAAUGUGUAAGUAACUAUGCACGUCUUGACGGUACCUAAUCAGAAAGCCACGGCUAACUACGUGCCAGCAGCCGCGGUAAUACGUAGGUGGCAAGCGUUAUCCGGAAUUAUUGGGCGUAAAGCGCGCGUAGGCGGUUUUUUAAGUCUGAUGUGAAAGCCCACGGCUCAACCGUGGAGGGUCAUUGGAAACUGGAAAACUUGAGUGCAGAAGAGGAAAGUGGAAUUCCAUGUGUAGCGGUGAAAUGCGCAGAGAUAUGGAGGAACACCAGUGGCGAAGGCGACUUUCUGGUCUGUAACUGACGCUGAUGUGCGAAAGCGUGGGGAUCAAACAGGAUUAGAUACCCUGGUAGUCCACGCCGUAAACGAUGAGUGCUAAGUGUUAGGGGGUUUCCGCCCCUUAGUGCUGCAGCUAACGCAUUAAGCACUCCGCCUGGGGAGUACGACCGCAAGGUUGAAACUCAAAGGAAUUGACG
rnacentral:rRNA from 1 species